UUAAGAGGGUAAAUGUACCCUCGUAAAAGCACUCUUGUACCUUAAGACAGUAAUUGUGCCCAUGUAAAUGCACCCUUCCAACUUAAGAGGGUAAAUUUGCCCUUGUGAAAUGCACUCUUGCACCUUAAGAGGGUAAAUGGACCCUUGUACACGCACUCUUGCAUGUACCCUUGUACACGCACUCUUGCACCUUAAGACAGUAAAUAGAGUAAAUGAACCUUUGUAAAAUGAAUGUAUUCUGUUAAGAUACCAUUAAAUCUUAAGAGAGUAAAAGUACCAGAAAUUUAAGCCCCCUUUUCUCUGCUUUCCAAUGGUCCCGUGGCUGUCCAAUGGUCCCUUCUGCUGUCGCUCCCAGCGGGGGCAGACAGGAGAGGUACCUAGAGCCACGGGGCAACAGGAAGGGUGGUCCAGGCCUCGAGAUGGACAAGAGGGGCAGUUAGAGCAUUGAGACCAACAGGAGGGGCCAAAGGAGCAGCAGGGACCGACAGGAAGGACAAAUGGAGCCACAGACCAGACAGGAGGGGAUAAUGGAUUCAUGAGGCAACAGCUUGGGCCAGGACCACCAGGAUAGGUGGAUACUUAACGGGGGCAGACAGGAGAGGUACCAAGAGCCACGGGGCAACAGGAAGGGUGGUCCAGGCCUCGAGAUGGACAAGAGGGGCAGUUAGAGCAUUGAGACCAACAGGAGGGGCCAACGGAGCAGCGGGGACCGACAGGAAGGACAAAUGGAGCCACAGACCAGACAGGAGGGGAUAAUGGAUUCAUGAGGCAACAGCUUGUUCCAGGACCACCAGGAUAGGUGGAUACUAUAUGUUACUGAUAAAUGCCAGUGCAGCUCCCAGACAAGAUAUGUACAAGUCAUACAGUUAUACCCGGAGGACCUGAUCCUUGUGGUAUACAUUAAAUAGCAUAUAUAACACUAUAUAGAUGGUAUUCAGAGGGAGCACAUGUGUUGUCAAGUGGGGUAGUGACUCACUGCUGUUGAUUAUGAUGUACAUAUCUAGCAAAGAAACCCUGGUAGUGUAAGAAGUAUUUACCGUGGUUAUCAGUACUUGGUAGGCAUGGAUACAAUAAAUACAUAAGAUAUCAGUAGACUUAAGAUAUCAGCAGAUGUAAAAAAAAGAGAGGGGAAAAGAAAGGGACAUGUAGGUACUUGUGACAGAGAUGAAAAGGUACGUGAGUGCUACCUGAAAUGUCUGACUGUUUCCAAAAUCUGUACUUGUAACAAUUUAUUGUGUAUGUAUUACUGUUGACAUAUCAAGACUGAAAUCAGCUGUGUAUUGACAAAUUAUCAAGAUCCUGUUAGCUUAUCAGAACUUUGUUUUGUUAUAGUUUCUUUUCAAAAAUUCACUCAAGUUUCUCAUGCAAACUGGGUCUUCAAGAAUGUCUUGUUAGCAAAUGCAUUUUUUGUGAUAAGGUGAGAUGCCAAGUAAUUGUACAAGAUUAAAUGUAGAAGUGGAGACAUUUUGUAAAAGAAGAGAUUGUGUCAUACUGGUAUAGCAAAAAACAAUGCUUUUAGGUGACAUGUAGUUUUUAUGCAUUACAUGGUGUUACACUUUUAUAAUGUACAUUGGACAUGCUGCCAAAGUGGAUGUACAUCUCAGAGACAUGGAAGAAGAAAGAGAGGAAAAUUGUAGUAGUGUAGCAAUGCAGUUUGUUUUUGCAUCAUGUUUUUGUUGUUUCAAGUAAAGAAACAUAAUUCUAUUUUGCACAACUAAA